rnacentral:rRNA from 1 species
UUGUCCGGAUUUAUUGGGCGUACAGCGAGCGCAUGCGGUUAGAUAGUCUGAAGUUAAAGGCUGUGGCUUAACCAUAGUACGCUUUGGAAACUGUUUAACUUGAGUGCAAGAGGGGAGAGUGGAAUUCCAUGUGUAGCGGUGAAAUGCGUAAUAUAUGGAGGAACACCGGUGGCGAAAGCGGCUCUCUGGCUUGUAACUGACGCUGAGGCUCGAAAGCGUGGGGAGCAAACAGGAUUAAUACCCUGGUAGUCAAGGGCGAAUUCGC